UGCGGGGUAGAGCAGUCUGGUAGCUCGUCGGGCUCAUAACCCGGAAGUCAGUGGUUCAAAUCCACUUCCCGCAU
rnacentral:tRNA from 1 species